rnacentral:rRNA from 1 species
GACAGAGGGUGCAAACGUUGCUCGGAAUUACUGGGCGUAAAGCGCGUGUAGGCGGACCACCAAGUCGGACGUGAAAGCCCUGAGCUCAACUCAGGAACUGCAUCCGAAACUGGCGGUCUGGAGUAGUGGAGAGGAAAGCAGAAUUCCUGGUGUAGAGGUGAAAUUCGUAGAUAGCAGGAGGAACACCGGUGGCGAAGGCGGCUUUCUGGACACUUACUGACGCUGAGACGCGAAAGCGUGGGGAGCAAGCAGG